GUGAACCUAUUUUGUAUUAAAUUCGGUAAAAUGAAAGUCUUGAAAUGACCCUUGUCGCGAAAAUGAGAUUGUAGCCUAUAUGGUUAAAGGUUUGAUAAUUUUGAAGGUUGAACAUAUCCCUCGAUGUCCCUUGACGCGAAACAUGAUAUGUGAACCUAUUUGAUUUCGUAUUCGGUAAAAUGAAAGUAUUGGAAUGUCCCUUGUCGCGAAAACGAGAUUUUAGCCUACAUGGUUACAAUUUUGAUAACUAUGAAGGUUGAACUUGUCCCUCAAUUUCCCUUGAUUUAAAACUUGAUACUUGGACAUAUUUGGUUUUAAAUUCGGUAAAAUAAAAGUAUUGGAAUUGACCUUGUUGCAAAAAGAUGAUUUUGGCAUAUAUGCCUACAAGUUUGACAAAUGAGAAGUUUGAACUAGUCCCUUGAUGCGAAACAUGAUGCGAAAAUGAAAUUUUAGCCUAUAUGGCUGAACUUGUCUCUCGAUGUUCCUUGAUGCGAAAUAUGAUAUAUGAAACUAUUUGGUUUUGUAUUCGGUAAAAUGAAAGUGUAUUGGAAUAACCCUUGUCGCAAAAAUGAGAUUUUAGCCUAUAUGGUUAGAAGUUUGAUAGAUAUGAAGGUUGAAUUCGUCCCUCGAUGUCCUUUGAUGCGUAACAUAAUAUUGAACCUGUUUUGUUGAAAAUGAGAUUUUAGCCUAUAUGGUUGAACUUGUCUCUCGACGUCCCUUGAUGCGAAAUAUGAUAUAUGAAACUAUUUGGUUUUGUAUUCGGUAAAAUGAAAGUCUUUUGGAAUGACCCUUGUCGCGAAAAUGAGAUUUUAGCCUAUAUGGUUAGAAGUUUGAUAAAGGUUGA
rnacentral:lncRNA from 1 species